CUUAUCUUUAUCCUUAUACUUAUCUUUAACUUUAUCUUCCUUGAUCCUUAUCUUUAUCUUCUUAUCUUCCCUUUCUUUCUUAUCUGACAUGCGCAUGGAGCCAAGUUCGAUAAGCUCAGAGCCGAGCUCUCAAUAGCUCGGACCCUUGUCUAAAUUGCUUUCUCUCUUCCAAUAUAAGCCUCCUUAUUAUUGUGUUUUACUCAUUUGCUUCCAAACCGUCGAACGGAAAUGAUCAAUCCUCUAAGGCACAAGCCAUUUCUUGAACUGCUGGGCACGUCUGAGCCUUAUCAACAACAAGCGCUACUGGAAACAGCAACCGCCGAGUAAGUACACUGCCUGUGUCUCUGUGUAGAAAACGUUAUCAAAAGAAAAUAUUUAAUGCCGAAGUAUGUAAUUAAG